GACGAACGCUGGCGGCGUGCUUAACACAUGCAAGUCGAACGGAAAGGCCCUGCUUUUGUGGGGUGCUCGAGUGGCGAACGGGUGAGUAACACGUGAGUAACCUGCCCUUGACUUUGGGAUAACUUCAGGAAACUGGGGCUAAUACCGGAUAGGAGCUCCUGCUGCAUGGUGGGGGUUGGAAAGUUUCGGCGGUUGGGGAUGGACUCGCGGCUUAUCAGCUUGUUGGUGGGGUAGUGGCUUACCAAGGCUUUGACGGGUAGCCGGCCUGAGAGGGUGACCGGCCACAUUGGGACUGAGCUACGGCCCAGACUCCUACGGGAGGCAGCAGUGGGGAAUAUUGCACAAUGGGCGGAAGCCUGAUGCAGCAACGCCGCGUGCGGGAUGACGGCCUUCGGGUUGUAAACCGCUUUCGCCUGUGACGAAGCGUGAGUGACGGUAAUGGGUAAAGAAGCACCGGCUAACUACGUG
rnacentral:rRNA from 1 species